rnacentral:tRNA from 1 species
GGCAGUGUGGCUCAGUGGUAGAGCACUUUUCUAGCACGUGCUGGGAGCUGGGUUUAACUCCCAGCACUGACC